UGCUGUGUAGAAAGGUGUGUGUGUUUGUUGCAGGCUUGGGAGAGCAAAGCUGCAGUAUGUCGCAGCCCAACCGCCAUCACUAAGCACAAAACGGCUUAAAAUUGGUGGUUUUGUCGAGUCAGUAAAUCGACGCCCCAGUCGAACGUGUGCGCCGCUGCUGCUGCGCCGCUAGAUGUAAUUUGUCAUUCCCCCCAAACAUGGCGACUUCUACGACAAGGCAAAACGUGGCGGUGGGGUUCGUCGCUUCCAUCCCGGGAAAGGAACAAACAAAUGGUGGGUGGUGGUGUAAAAGCCAUGUUUAUCGGAUAAUUGAGUGUUUAUGCUGUGAUUGAAGCGACGAAUUCAAUAAUAUUAAUUGACUUUAGCACCAUCCAGCCGCUUACACCGUGAAACAAUCAGGCUGUGCUUUGGGGACGAAGAUUCUGCCCAAGCCAAAGGGCCGACAUUCAUCGCGUCAAUUGUGGUACCACUCUUUCCCGAGGUACCCCUCUUAAAUCUCACGUACUGUUCAGUUGGAACUUUGCAAACGCAGGAGGAGAACGCAACGAUUUUAACGGUGGUUUGCAUGAGUAAUUUCAUUAAAUCGCUACAAUCUAAUUAA